rnacentral:rRNA from 1 species
UACAGAGGUCUCGAGCGUCGUUCGGAUUCAUUGGGCGUAAAGGGCGCGUAGGCGGCGGGGUAAGUCUGGUGUGAAAUCUCGGAGCUCAACUCCGAAAUUGCACUGGAUACUGCUCUGCUAGAGGGCUGGAGAGGAGAUCGGAAUUCACGGUGUAGCAGUGAAAUGCGUAGAUAUCGUGAGGAAGACCAGUGGCGAAGGCGGAUCUCUGGACAGCUCCUGACGCUGAGGCGCGAAGGCUAGGGGAGCAAACGGG